GACACACAGACACCAAAGGCGACUACGACAAGAGGAGCGCACGGGGACGAGCUCGAUCGGCGGAGGCGAAGACGCACUGACGCGAGUACUACGACCGCCGCCAUGGAGGAGAGAAUACCGCUGCUGUCGCCGCGGUUCCCGGCGGACGGCACCGCAGGAGUGGGGGGAGGGGAGGAGGGCGGCUGCUGCGCCUGCGCCUGCGGCGGCGGCGGAGGCGAUAGGUGGUGGAGCGGGCUGGCGCGGGAGGCCGGGAAGGUGGGGUCCAUGGCCCUGCCGAUGGCCGCGAUGAGCGUGGCGCAGAACGCCGUGCAGGUGGCGUCGAACAUGAUGGUGGGGCACCUCCCCGGCGUCCUCCCGCUCUCCGCCUCCGCCAUCGCCACCUCCCUCGCCAGCGUCUCCGGCUUCAGCCUCCUCGUUGGAAUGGCAAGUGGACUAGAAACUCUAUGUGGUCAAGCUUAUGGGGCAAAACAGUAUGACAAGUUAGGAGUGCAAACCUACAGAGCAAUAGUUACACUUACAGUAGUCACAAUUCCAAUCUCACUUCUAUGGGUAUUCAUAGGCAAACUCUUGAUCCUAAUAGGUCAGGACGCCUUGAUCUCACAAGAAGCUGGAAGAUACAUAGUGUGGUUGAUUCCAGGACUCUUCGCAUAUGCAGUCUGCCAACCCCUCACAAAAUUUCUACAGUCUCAGAGUUUAAUAUUUCCUAUGCUCUGGUCCUCCAUUGCUACUCUACUCUUGCACAUUCCUCUGUCUUGGCUGUUGGUAUUCAAGACCAGCAUGGGGUUUACUGGAGCUGCUUUAGCAAUUAGCAUAUCGUACUGGUUGAACACGUUCAUGCUCGCUGCAUACAUCAGAUUCUCAUGCUCUUGUGAAGUAACUCGCUCACCUCCUACAAUUGAGGCAUUCAGAGGGGUUGGUCUGUUUCUGCGAUUAGCUCUACCAUCUGCACUAAUGUUAUGUUUUGAAUGGUGGUCAUUUGAGAUCCUUGUUCUCCUGUCAGGACUUUUACCCAACCCAGAGCUGGAAAGUUCAGUCCUUUCCAUAUGCCUGACGACUACCUCUUUGAUGUAUACCAUACCAUAUGGUCUUGGGGGCGCUGCAAGCACUCGAGUAGCAAAUGAAUUAGGUGCUGGAAAUCCUGAAGGAGCUCGAUCAGCUGUUCACCUUGUAAUGUCUAUUGCUGGGACUGAGGCAGUUAUUGUUACUGGAAUGCUGUUAGCAGCACAGCGCAUCUUAGGCUAUGCUUACAGCAGCGAUGAGGAGGUUGUUGCAUAUUUUACAUCAAUGGUCCCUUUUGUGUGCAUAUCAGUUGCUGCUGAUAGCCUACAAGGAGUUCUAUCAGGUUACAUUUCCUAACAUUUGAUUUAUCUGUUAAUUCUUCAUUCCCUUCAAAAGCUGAAAAAAAAGAGUACUCAACUAUGCCUGAAUUGUUCUAAAAUUUGCUCUAACUGGUUCUUAUAAUAUUGGGGCCAUUGCAUUUACACAUUUCAGUAUCUUUAGCCCGUUAGCUAAACGGUAUCUUUUACCCCUUAGUUUGAUUGCUUAAUUCAAUGUGUGCGCUUUUUUCAAAUUUGUACCAAGACCUCAGGUAGCAAGUUAAUUUCAGUCACGCCGGUAUCAUAAAGACAUACCAGGUAACUUGCCGCUUCUUGCUGUUCCUUUGUUCGACGAAACUAAUGCUAUUUUGUGUUGUGGAGGCCAACAUUGUUGCUCGGGGAGUUACCUGUUUGUUCCUUCAAACAUGUGCUCUUACGUGAACAUGGAUGGUGGUGUUUACAUCAACACGCAUCUAUCAGCGAUGUCGUCUUAAGUGUGGGCUCCACUUCACUAAGUGUUGCUCGGGGUUGCGGAUGGCAGCACUUGGGAGCCUAUGUUAACCUUGGUUCGUUCUACCUGGUUGGCAUUCCGGUAGCGCUAUUUCUUGGCUUUAGCCUGAAGAUGGAAGGUAAAGGGCUUUGGCUGGGCAUUGCUGGUGGUUCCGUAUUGCAGUUCUUGCUUCUCGCUGUGAUUGCAUUCUUCAGCAACUGGCAAAAGAUGGCUGAGAAAGCAAGGGAGAGACUUUUCGGUGAGACACCGUCAGAGAAGCAAUCUUUGGUGCUUGAUGCGACAAAUUCAGUCUGAUUCUGCAACCUGGUCCGUUGACGCGAACUGAAGCGGAUGAUCGGAUCAUGUGGAGGAGACUGUUGCCUUGCUACGAGUGCUCCUCUGGAUGUAUAGGGAAUCUGCUGAAGAAGUAAACCAGUGUGCAUUGUUGUACUAAGUUGUACCGUUGCUAGGACCUGUGAGAAAGCUAUCAAGAACUCAAUAUAUGAAAUGUAUGGUGGUCAUAAUGUACGAGAUCGAGGCGGGGAAUACUUCCAGCCUGUAGAAGUGUAUACAGAACUUACCACUUCAUGGACAGAAGAAUAAAAAGGCUUAACCUAUCCUUUGUCCUGCAUGGCUUAUCAUAACUUCGAAACUUACAGAAAGCCAUUUUUUUACAUCAUACAUUUUUACAUCAUACAGCAUAAUUAUAUGGGAGUAUUUAACAUGUAAUUGAUGCAUGAUCAGACAUUCUAAUUUCCAAGGAUCACACUACAUUU